CGGGUGAGUAACGCGUGGGCAACCUGCCCUCCAGUUGGGGACAACAUUCCGAAAGGGAUGCUAAUACCGAAUGCGGAAGAUGGGCCCGCGUCUGAUUAGCUAGUUGGUGGGGUAACGGCUCACCAAGGCGAUGAUCAGUAGCCGGUCUGAGAGGAUGAACGGCCACAUUGGGACUGAGACACGGCCUAAACUCCUACGGGAGGCAGCAGUGGGGAAUCUUCCGCAAUGGACGAAAGUCUGACGGAGCAACGCCGCGUGAGUGAUGAAGGUCUUCGGAUUGUAAAACUCUGUUGUUAGGGACGCGGUACCUAACGAGGAAGCCACGGCUAACUACGUGCCAGCAGCCGCGGUAAUACGUAGGUGGCAAGCGUUGUCCGGAAUUAUUGGGCGUAAAGAGCAUGUAGGCGGGCUUUUAAGUCUGACGUGAAAAUGCGGGGCUUAACCCCGUAUGGCGUUGGAUACUGGAAGUCUUGAGUGCA
rnacentral:rRNA from 1 species